rnacentral:rRNA from 1 species
CUACUAUGGAGAGUUUGAUCCUGGCUCAGGACGAACGCUGGCGGCGUGCCUAAUACAUGCAAGUCGAGCGGAUUUAUCCUUCGGGAUAAGUUAGCGGCGGACGGGUGAGUAACACGUAGGUAACCUGCCUUUAAGACUGGGAUAACUAUCGGAAACGAUAGCUAAGACCGGA